CAAUAGCGUAUAUUUAAGUUGCUGCAGUUAAAAAGCUCGUAGUUGGAUUUCGGGUGGGAAUGGCCGGUCCGCCGUUUCGGUGUGCACUUGCUACGCCCACCUUGCUGCCGGGGACGUGCUCUUGAGUUCACGCUCGGGACACGGAGUCGGCGAGGUUACUUUGAGUAAAUUAGAGUGUUCAAAUCAGGCCUACGCUCUGAAUACAUUAGCAUGGAAUAACACGAUAGGACUCUGGCCUAUCUUGUUGGUCUGUAGGACCGGAGUAAUGAUUAAGAGGGACAGUCGGGGGCAUUCGUAUUUCAUUGUCAGAGGUGAAAUUCUUGGAUUUAUGAAAGACGAACUACUGCGAAAGCAUUUGCCAAGGAUGUUUUCAUUAA
rnacentral:rRNA from 1 species